rnacentral:lncRNA from 1 species
UCGAACAAAAUACCAGUCAUCUAACAUGACAAGUACGGUUUAUUUAAUGCUACAACCAAUGAAAUACAAUACAUAGGAUCAGGUGAAUUUCAACCGUUUGAUCUGCGCAUAGUCACAUACAGCCAUGUGUAUGUGUACUUAGUGAGAAGUUAUUUAACCCCAUAUCGACGAUUAAAACUCACCCGAUAUAUAUAACUGAUCAGUGUAGCCUCUAAACCCUUGACAAGUACCGUGUUGAAUUAAAUCAUAUUCGGACUUAAAUUGGAUUUUAUCUAACAUUAAACCGAGAAUGUAAUCAAUCAAAGCAAUACUCGAAAUAAAAGCAUACGACACGAUCGAAGACAUGUUUUAUUUAUAACACGGUACGGUGUUGCCAAAUGGUUACAAUUCAGGGGGCACCAACCAUUCGUCGACCUUCAAUUUGACUAACUAAUAUGACGGUGGUGGUGGUGGCGGCGGACGAUAUGGCCUAGAAAUUCUUGGCGGUGGUGGUGGAGGAGGUGGCGGCCCAAACGGAGGAGAUGGUGGCGCCUCUUGGCGAUUAAACUUACUAGGUUUCGGCGGCGGUGGCGACGGCUGUUUACCUCUAAGCCUUCUAUCGUAUCUAGGAUUGUGAUUUUGCAUAGAAGAGAGACUCAGAGUUGGAUCAUGCAUUAGCAAGAAACAAAGGAAGAAGAUAUAUGUUACUAUUAAUGCUUUCAUAUUUAAU